AGAGUUUGAUCCUGGCUCAGAACGAACGCUGGCGGCGUGCCUAACACAUGCAAGUCGAACGGRAUUWRRGRGCUUGCUCYUWAAUUUAGUGGCGCACGGGUGAGUAACGCGURGAUAAUCUGCCUGAYGAUCUGGGAUAACAYYUCGAAAGRGGUGCUAAUACCGGAUAAGCCCACGGRGWCUUYGGWUYYUGCGGGAAAAGGGGGGGACCUUCGGGCCUUCUGUCRUCAGAUGAGUCYGCGUACCAUUAGCUAGUUGGUAGGGUAAWGGCCUACCAAGGCGACGAUCUAUAGCUGGUCUGAGAGGACGAUCAGCCACACUGGGACUGAGACACGGCCCAGACUCCUACGGGAGGCAGCAGUGGGGAAUAUUGGACAAUGGGCGAAAGCCUGAUCCAGCAAUACCGCGUGUGUGAAGAAGGCCUUAGGGUUGUAAAGCACUUUCAAUUGGGAGGAAAACCUACCGGUCAAUACCCGGUAGCUUGACAUUACCUUUAGAAGAAGCACCGGCUAACUCCGUGCCAGCAGCCGCGGUAAUACGGAGGGUGCGAGCGUUAAUCGGAAUUACUGGGCGUAAAGCGUGCGUAGGCGGUUCGUUAAGUCAGAUGUGAAAGCCCUGGGCUCAACCUGGGAACGGCAUUUGAAACUGGCGGACUAGAGUUUAGUAGAGGGGAGUGGAAUUUCAGGUGUAGCGGUGAAAUGCGUAGAUAUCUGAAGGAACACCAGUGGCGAAGGCGACUCCCUGGACUAGAACUGACGCUGAGGUACGAAAGCGUGGGUAGCAAACAGGAUUAGAUACCCUGGUAGUCC
rnacentral:rRNA from 1 species